ensembl:lncRNA
GGGAUGACCACAAACUUGAGAAUACUGUCAAGCAAAGCUGAUUCAAACACUUAGAUGGAGUGGACUGAAGCUGGAGUCAGUGCAUCUAGAGUCACCACGCUCAGACGUCUUUAGGAAAAGGGCUACCAAGCCACUUCUGAAACAGAAACAAUGUCAGAAGCAUCUUACCUGGGCUAAGGAUUAAAAGACCUGGACUGUUGCUCAGUUGUCCAAAGUCCUCUUUUCAGAUAAAAGUAAAUUUUGCAUUUCAUUUGGAAAUCAAGGUCUGGAGUCUGGAGGGAGACUGGAGAGGCACAGAAUCCAAGCUGCUUGAAGUCCAGUGUGAAGUUUCUGAAGUCCUGUGUGAUCAAUUCAAUUCAAAUUUUCCAUUAUGAACUUCAAGACAAAGUCAUUUCAUAAAGAUCGUAUUUUGCCCAAUCUUGGUCCCCAGAAUGUGUGAGCCUUCGAUCCCAGAAUGAGCUUUAAACUGCAGGUAUCACUUCCCUCCAGACUGUACUGUGUAAACUUUCUUUUGAUUUCUCAGUAUUGACUUCCCCGUCUCGCUGUUUUCUU